rnacentral:tRNA from 1 species
CGCGCGCGUGCGACGUGCGCGACGCGGGCUGGCGCCGCGCGUGUCGAGCCAGUGCUCGAAGGCGCUCCAUUCGGCCUGGUGGCGCGCGAC